rnacentral:rRNA from 1 species
GGUUAAGCGACUAAGCGUACACGGUGGAUGCCCUGGCAGUCAGAGGCGAUGAAGGACGUGCUAAUCUGCGAAAAGCGUCGGUAAGGUGAUAUGAACCGUUAUAACCGGCGAUGUCCGAAUGGGGAAACCCAGUGCAAUUCGUUGCACUAUCGUUAACUGAAUACAUAGGUUAACGAGGCGAACCGGGGGAACUGAAACAUCUAAGUACCCCGAGGAAAAGAAAUCAACCGAGAUUCCCCCAGUAGCGGCGAGCGAACGGGGAGCAGCCCAGAGUCUGAAUCAGCUUGUGUGUUAGUGGAACGGUCUGGAAAGUCCGACGGUACAGGGUGAUAGUCCCGUACACCAAAAUGCACAGGCUGUGAACUCGAAGAGUAGGGCGGGACACGUGGUAUCCUGUCUGAAUAUGGGGGGGACCAUCCUCCAAGGCUAAAUACUCCUGACUGACCGAUAGUGAACCAGUACCGUGAGGGAAAGGCGAAAAGAACCCCGGCGAGGGGAGUGAAAAAGAACCUGAAACCGUGUACGUACAAGCAGUGGGAGCACCUUCGGGUGUGACUGCGUACCUUUUGUAUAAUGGGUCAGCGACUUAUAUUCUGUAGCAAGGUUAACCGUAUAGGGGAGCCGCAGGGAAACCGAGUCUUAACUGGGCGUUAAGUUGCAGGGUAUAGACCCGAAACCCGGUGAUCUAGCCAUGGGCAGGUUGAAGGUUGGGUAACACUAACUGGAGGACCGAACCGACUAAUGUUGAAAAAUUAGCGGAUGACUUGUGGCUGGGGGUGAAAGGCCAAUCAAACCGGGAGAUAGCUGGUUCUCCCCGAAAGCUAUUUAGGUAGCGCCUCGUGAAUUCAUCUUCGGGGGUAGAGCACUGUUUCGGCUAGGGGGUCAUCCCGACUUACCAACCCGAUGCAAACUACGAAUACCGAAGAAUGUUAUCACGGGAGACACACGGCGGGUGCUAACGUCCGUCGUGAAGAGGGAAACAACCCAGACCGCCAGCUAAGGUCCCAAAGUCAUGGUUAAGUGGGAAACGAUGUGGGAAGGCACAGACAGCCAGGAUGUUGGCUUAGAAGCAGCCAUCAUUUAAAGAAAGCGUAAUAGCUCACUGGUCGAGUCGGCCUGCGCGGAAGAUGUAACGGGGCUAAACCAUGCACCGAAGCUGCGGCAGCGACACUAUGUGUUGUUGGGUAGGGGAGCGUUCUGUAAGCCUGCGAAGGUGUGCUGUGAGGCAUGCUGGAGGUAUCAGAAGUGCGAAUGCUGACAUAAGUAACGAUAAAGCGGGUGAAAAGCCCGCUCGCCGGAAGACCAAGGGUUCCUGUCCAACGUUAAUCGGGGCAGGGUGAGUCGACCCCUAAGGCGAGGCCGAAAGGCGUAGUCGAUGGGAAACAGGUUAAUAUUCCUGUACUUGGUGUUACUGCGAAGGGGGGACGGAGAAGGCUAUGUUAGCCGGGCGACGGUUGUCCCGGUUUAAGCAUGUAGGCUGGUUAUCCAGGCAAAUCCGGAUAAUCAAGGCUGAGGUGUGAUGACGAGGCACUACGGUGCUGAAGUAACAAAUGCCCUGCUUCCAGGAAAAGCCUCUAAGCAUCAGGUAACAUCAAAUCGUACCCCAAACCGACACAGGUGGUCAGGUAGAGAAUACCAAGGCGCUUGAGAGAACUCGGGUGAAGGAACUAGGCAAAAUGGUGCCGUAACUUCGGGAGAAGGCACGCUGGUGUGUAGGUGAAGUCCCUGCGGAUGGAGCUGAGACCAGUCGAAGAUACCAGCUGGCUGCAACUGUUUAUUAAAAACACAGCACUGUGCAAACACGAAAGUGGACGUAUACGGUGUGACGCCUGCCCGGUGCCGGAAGGUUAAUUGAUGGGGUUAUCCGUAAGGAGAAGCUCUUGAUCGAAGCCCCGGUAAACGGCGGCCGUAACUAUAACGGUCCUAAGGUAGCGAAAUUCCUUGUCGGGUAAGUUCCGACCUGCACGAAUGGCGUAAUGAUGGCCAGGCUGUCUCCACCCGAGACUCAGUGAAAUUGAACUCGCUGUGAAGAUGCAGUGUACCCGCGGCAAGACGGAAAGACCCCGUGAACCUUUACUAUAGCUUGACACUGAACAUUGAGCCUUGAUGUGUAGGAUAGGUGGGAGGCUUUGAAGCGUGGACGCCAGUCUGCGUGGAGCCAACCUUGAAAUACCACCCUUUAAUGUUUGAUGUUCUAACGUUGGCCCCUUACCGGGGUUGCGGACAGUGUCUGGUGGGUAGUUUGACUGGGGCGGUCUCCUCCCAAAGCGUAACGGAGGAGCACGAAGGUUAGCUAAUCCUGGUCGGACAUCAGGAGGUUAGUGCAAUGGCAUAAGCUAGCUUGACUGCGAGCGUGACGGCGCGAGCAGGUGCGAAAGCAGGUCAUAGUGAUCCGGUGGUUCUGAAUGGAAGGGCCAUCGCUCAACGGAUAAAAGGUACUCCGGGGAUAACAGGCUGAUACCGCCCAAGAGUUCAUAUCGACGGCGGUGUUUGGCACCUCGAUGUCGGCUCAUCACAUCCUGGGGCUGAAGUAGGUCCCAAGGGUAUGGCUGUUCGCCAUUUAAAGUGGUACGCGAGCUGGGUUUAGAACGUCGUGAGACAGUUCGGUCCCUAUCUGCCGUGGGCGCUGGAGAAUUGAGGGGGGCUGCUCCUAGUACGAGAGGACCGGAGUGGACGCAUCACUGGUGUUCGGGUUGUCAUGCCAAUGGCACUGCCCGGUAGCUAAAUGCGGAAGAGAUAAGUGCUGAAAGCAUCUAAGCACGAAACUUGCCCCGAGAUGAGUUCUCCCUGAGACUUUAAGUCUCCUGAAGGAACGUUAAAGACGAUGACGUUGAUAGGCCGGGUGUGUAAGCGCAGCGAUGCGUUGAGCUAACCGGUACUAAUGAACCGUGAGGCUUAACCUU